UCUUCUUCUUCUUCUUCUUUCUUCUGGUUUAUUCUUUCUUUUCUUCUUCUGUUUCUCGCCUCCGGCGAUUCUCAGAGUUCGAUUUGAGAUAUUUAAUUGAAGAAGUAGAACAUGUUAAGUAGAAGAUGAUGAUGAUGAUGUUGUGGCACGAGAUGAAGAGGAUUGAUUCUGCUAUGAAUUGAAGUUAGGGUUUUCUGGAAAAUGAAAGUGAUUGAAGAAUUAACUGGAUUUGAGUAUGAAGUCGAUUAAUUGAUGAUGAGUUUUUCUUGUUUAAAACAAGUGAGAAGAAUUAACUGUUGAUUUAGGAAUUUAGUGAAGAUUUGAGAAGAUUAAGGUUUUCCCGGAAAUUGAAUUAAGAUUCGAUUCAAGUGGUGAAUUAAGAAGAAUUGGAUAGGUUUAACAGAUGAGCUUGUUCGAUUGAAUAUGUUACGGAAGAAAUUGAAGAGUUUGAUUGCUGUUUUGAGUUGAAUUUGAGAUUAAAGAUAAUCAGGGUUUCUCAGAAGAUUUAAUAGAAGUUUAAUUAGUGAUGAAUAGGAUGUUACUAAAGAUGGGUUUUAUCUGAAUUGGAAUUUGAGGUUGAGGAAUAGUUUGGAAUUGAUAAUUAGGGUUUGGUUCUGUUUUAAUGAAGGUUUGAGAUUUGAAUUGGAGUUUAAUUGAGAACCAGUGACGGGUUGAAGAUUUUGGGUAUGGUUUGAGUUGUGUUGAUGAGUCCUGAGCAGUCUUGAGAUAUGUUGGUGAAUCAAAAUCAGAGUGAGAAGUAGAAUCUGAUUCAGUUGCUUGAGGGAAGUUAUUUUGAGGUAAUUGUUUUAUCUCAGCAAACUAGUUUUGUUGUUCAUUUCAGUUUUGAUUUAUGAGGUUGUUUAUGAUAUUAGAGUUGAAAUGAGUUAAGAUGUGAUUGUAGUUAAUGUAUGUAAGGAGUAUUGCAUACUUGUUGAUGUUGUUGUACUGGUGGUAAUGAAGAUGGAUAUUAUUUGAGUUGAGAUGAUGUUGGUAUAGAAGAAGUUGGUAAUGAUAUUACAACCGCAAUUGCAAUUUAAGUUGUGUUUAAAUCUGUAUGAAUUGAUGAAGGAGUUGAUCUAGUGAAUAUGAUGAUGUAUUGUGGGUAGUUGAGGAUAUGAGCUGUUGCAGGUGAAGUUGUUAGUGGCUCAGGACAAGAAGAGGGUAAGGAUGGUUGUGAAUGAGUUGGAUUGGGAGAUGGUUGAAUUGUGAAGUGCUUCUUGAAUUGUAUGUAUGUGUGCUGGAAUGGGAACGCUAUGGAAUGUAAUUGUAUACGUGAAGUGGCUGCAAUUUAUGAUGUUGUAGAGUUUAAGUCACAAUGGUUGUGUCUGGAUUAAAUAGAAACGGAAUAAAGAUGAUGGUAUGCAGUGACAGUGGUGCCGCAGGGAGUUGUAGUGUUGUUGAUCUGUGAAAGAAGUGAAAGUGUUGAUUGUUCUGUGGCAGCUUAGUAGUGAUGUGGCUAUAGUGAAUUCUGAAAAUGGUUGAUAUAGGAUUGUAGUUAGUGAUUCAGUUAAAGCUUGCGAUUGCAGCUACAUUUCAGUUAUUUAUUAACAACGAGCGAUUCGAAGGAUGAUCUAGUGGAUCGUGGAUCUCGAGGUAGGCGUGGAUUAUCAUCAAAAGAGUUUCAGAGACAGAUCAGAGUAGCGCAGCGAAAGCUUAGAGGAGUUGACUACGUUAUUUAGAUUGUUUCUGCUAUGUUUAUUAUGAUGCAUAUUAUAUUCGUAAACCAGAUGACUAUUGUAUGUGUAUCAUUUGAGAGGAUUCCUUGUAUAUAUAUCUAUUUCUGAGCGGGGUUAGUUUUGGGUUAUGUUUUGUAGCAGAUUUCUUAAUUAAAUGUUUAAGUAAAUGAUUAAGAUUUUAGUGUCU